rnacentral:rRNA from 1 species
GGUUAAGCGACUAAGCGUACACGGUGGAUGCCCUGGCAGUCAGAGGCGAUGAAGGACGUGCUAAUCUGCGAUAAGCGCCGGUAAGGUGAUAUGAACCGUUAUAACCGGCGAUUUCCGAAUGGGGAAACCCAGUGUGAUUCGUCACACUAUCAUUAACUGAAUCCAUAGGUUAAUGAGGCGAACCGGGGGAACUGAAACAUCUAAGUACCCGAGGAAAAGAAAUCAACCGAGAUUCCCCCAGUAGCGGCGAGCGAACGGGGAGGAGCCCAGAGCCUGAAUCAGCAUGUGUGUUAGUGGAAGCGUCUGGAAAGGCGCGCGAUACAGGGUGACAGCCCCGUACACAAAAGCGCAUGUGCUGUGAGCUCGAUGAGUAGGGCGGGACACGUGGUAUCCUGUCUGAAUAUGGGGGGACCAUCCUCCAAGGCUAAAUACUCCUGACUGACCGAUAGUGAACCAGUACCGUGAGGGAAAGGCGAAAAGAACCCCGGCGAGGGGAGUGAAAAAGAACCUGAAACCGUGUACGUACAAGCAGUGGGAGCACAGGUUUACCUGUGUGACUGCGUACCUUUUGUAUAAUGGGUCAGCGACUUAUAUUCUGUAGCAAGGUUAACCGUAUAGGGGAGCCGUAGGGAAACCGAGUCUUAACCGGGCGUUAAGUUGCAGGGUAUAGACCCGAAACCCGGUGAUCUAGCCAUGGGCAGGUUGAAGGUUGGGUAACACUAACUGGAGGACCGAACCGACUAAUGUUGAAAAAUUAGCGGAUGACCUGUGGCUGGGGGUGAAAGGCCAAUCAAACCGGGAGAUAGCUGGUUCUCCCCGAAAGCUAUUUAGGUAGCGCCUCGUGAAUUCAUCUCCGGGGUAGAGCACUGUUUCGGCUAGGGGCCAUCCCGGCUUACCAACCCGAUGCAAACUGCGAAUACCGGAGAAUGUUAUCACGGGAGACACACGGCGGGUGCUAACGUCCGUCGUGAAGAGGGAAACAACCCAGACCGCCAGCUAAGGUCCCAAAGUCAUGGUUAAGUGGGAAACGAUGUGGGAAGGCCCAGACAGCCAGGAUGUUGGCUUAGAAGCAGCCAUCAUUUAAAGAAAGCGUAAUAGCUCACUGGUCGAGUCGGCCUGCGCGGAAGAUGUAACGGGGCUAAACCAUGCACCGAAGCUGCGGCAGCGAACGUAUCACCCAAGACAACUUUACGGAGUUGACGAUUGACGGAGCGAAGCGACGUCAAAGCGUUCAUUAAAGUCGAGUUGGCUUAGGGAUACGUUCGUUGGGUAGGGGAGCGUUCUGUAAGCCUGUGAAGGUGUGUCGUGAGGCAUGCUGGAGGUAUCAGAAGUGCGAAUGCUGACAUAAGUAACGAUAAAGCGGGUGAAAAGCCCGCUCGCCGGAAGACCAAGGGUUCCUGUCCAACGUUAAUCGGGGCAGGGUGAGUCGACCCCUAAGGCGAGGCCGAAAGGCGUAGUCGAUGGGAAACGGGUUAAUAUUCCCGUACUUGGUGUUACUGCGAAGGGGGGACGGAGAAGGCUAUGUUGGCCGGGCGACGGUUGUCCCGGUUUAAGCGUGUAGGUGUGUGUUCCAGGUAAAUCCGGUUCACUUUAACACUGAGGCGUGACGACGAGGCACUACGGUGCUGAAGCAACAAAUGCCCUGCUUCCAGGAAAAGCCUCUAAGCAUCAGGUAACACGAAAUCGUACCCCAAACCGACACAGGUGGUCAGGUAGAGAAUACCAAGGCGCUUGAGAGAACUCGGGUGAAGGAACUAGGCAAAAUGGUGCCGUAACUUCGGGAGAAGGCACGCUGACACGUAGGUGAAGUGAUUUACUCAUGGAGCUGAAGUCAGUCGAAGAUACCAGCUGGCUGCAACUGUUUAUUAAAAACACAGCACUGUGCAAACACGAAAGUGGACGUAUACGGUGUGACGCCUGCCCGGUGCCGGAAGGUUAAUUGAUGGGGUCAGCGCAAGCGAAGCUCCUGAUCGAAGCCCCGGUAAACGGCGGCCGUAACUAUAACGGUCCUAAGGUAGCGAAAUUCCUUGUCGGGUAAGUUCCGACCUGCACGAAUGGCGUAAUGAUGGCCAGGCUGUCUCCACCCGAGACUCAGUGAAAUUGAACUCGCUGUGAAGAUGCAGUGUACCCGCGGCAAGACGGAAAGACCCCGUGAACCUUUACUAUAGCUUGACACUGAACAUUGAGCCUUGAUGUGUAGGAUAGGUGGGAGGCUUUGAAGUGUGGACGCCAGUCUGCAUGGAGCCGACCUUGAAAUACCACCCUUUAAUGUUUGAUGUUCUAACGUGGACCCGUAAUCCGGGUUGCGGACAGUGUCUGGUGGGUAGUUUGACUGGGGCGGUCUCCUCCUAAAGAGUAACGGAGGAGCACGAAGGUUGGCUAAUCCUGGUCGGACAUCAGGAGGUUAGUGCAAUGGCAUAAGCCAGCUUGACUGCGAGCGUGACGGCGCGAGCAGGUGCGAAAGCAGGUCAUAGUGAUCCGGUGGUUCUGAAUGGAAGGGCCAUCGCUCAACGGAUAAAAGGUACUCCGGGGAUAACAGGCUGAUACCGCCCAAGAGUUCAUAUCGACGGCGGUGUUUGGCACCUCGAUGUCGGCUCAUCACAUCCUGGGGCUGAAGUAGGUCCCAAGGGUAUGGCUGUUCGCCAUUUAAAGUGGUACGCGAGCUGGGUUUAGAACGUCGUGAGACAGUUCGGUCCCUAUCUGCCGUGGGCGCUGGAGAACUGAGGGGGGCUGCUCCUAGUACGAGAGGACCGGAGUGGACGCAUCACUGGUGUUCGGGUUGUCAUGCCAAUGGCACUGCCCGGUAGCUAAAUGCGGAAGAGAUAAGUGCUGAAAGCAUCUAAGCACGAAACUUGCCCCGAGAUGAGUUCUCCCUGAGACUUAGAGUCUCCUGAAGGAACGUUGAAGACGACGACGUUGAUAGGCCGGGUGUGUAAGCGCAGCGAUGCGUUGAGCUAACCGGUACUAAUGAACCGUGAGGCUUAACCUU